GGAUGCGAUCAUACCAGCACUAAAGCAUCGGAUCCCAUCAAAACUCCGAAGUUAAGCGUGCUUGGGCGAGAGUAGUACUAGGAUGGGUGACCUCUUGGGAAGUCCUCGUGUUGCAUUCC
rnacentral:rRNA from 2 species